GUAGGUCCCAAGGGUUGGGCUGUUCGCCCAUUAAAGCGGCACGCGAGCUGGGUUUAGAACGUCGUGAGACAGUUCGGUCUCUAUCCGCCGCGCGCGUAGAAACUUGAGGAAGGCUGUCCCUAGUACGAGAGGACCGGGAUGGACGUACCUCUGGUGUGCCAGUUGUCCCGCCUGGGGCAUGGCUGGUUGGCUACGUACGGAAGGGAUAACCGCUGAAAGCAUCUAAGCGGGAAGCCUGUUCCAAGAUUAGGUUUCUUUUGAGGUCCCCUAUAGAUGAUGGGGUUGAUAGGCCGGAUCUGGAAGCAUCGUAAGGUGUGGAGGUGACCGGUACUAAUAGACCAAACAUUCAACACACAAAGU
rnacentral:rRNA from 3 species